UAAUACGAAGGGGGCUAGCGUUGUUCGGAAUUACUGGGCGUAAAGGGCGCGUAGGCGGCUCUGAUCGUCGGAUGUGAAAGGCCUGGGCUCAACCUGGGAACGGCAUCCGAUACGGCAGGGCUUGAGUGUGGGAGAGGUUGGUGGAAUUCCCAGUGUAGAGGUGAAAUUCGUAGAUAUUGGGAAGAACACCGGUGGCGAAGGCGGCCAACUGGACCACAACUGACGCUGAGGCGCGAAAGCGUGGGGAGCAAACAGGAUUAGAUACCCUGGUAGUCCACGCUGUAAACGAUGCGUGCUAGACGUUGGGAGCCCUAGGCUCUCGGUGUCGUCGCUAACGCUUUAAGCACGCCGCCUGGGGAGUACGGUCGCAAGAUUA
rnacentral:rRNA from 1 species